rnacentral:rRNA from 1 species
AAACGAACUUGGAGAUAGCUGGUUCUCUCCGAAAUAGCUUUAGGGCUAGCCUCGCAAAGAGGAUGCUGGAGGUAGAGCUCUGUUUGGACUAGGGGCCCGUCAAGGGUUACUGAAUUCAGAUAAACUGCGAAUUCCAGACAUUUAUGUGCGGGAGUCAGACUGCGAGUGAUAAGAUCCGUAGUCGAAAGGGAAACAGCCCAGAUCACCAGUUAAGGUCCCAAAAUUCAUGCUAAGUGGAAAAGGAUGUGGAGUUGCGCAGACAACUAGGACGUUGGCUCAGAAGCAGCCAUCAUUCAAAGAGUGCGUAAUAGCUCACUAGUCGAGUGACGCCGCGCCGAAAAUUUACCGGGGCUAAGCAUGAUACCGAAACUGUGGAUGUGCGUUUAUGCACGUGGUAGGAGAGCGUUCUAGCGGCGGUGAAGCAUGACCGAGAGGACAUGUGGAGCUUCUAGAAGUGAGAAUGCCGGUAUGAGUAACGAAAGACAGGUGAGAAUCCUGUCCGCCGCAAGACUAAGGUUUCCUGGGGCAGGCUCGUCCGCCCAGGGUAAGUCGGGACCUAAGGCGAGGCCGAGAGGCGUAGUCGAUGGACAACAGGUUGAAAUUCCUGUACUGCACCGAAUCGUUAUGAGCGAUGGAGGGACGCAGGAGGCUAGCAGCGCGUGGUGCUGGAUACCACGUUCAAGCGUCAAGUCUGAGAGUGAGUCAAAUGCUUGCUCUCAUAAGGACAAGGCGUGAUGAGGAGCGAAAUUAAAGUAGCGAAGGCUGCGACGUCACACUGCCGAGAAAAGCUUCUAGCCAGAGACGGUGCACCCGUACCGCAAACCGACACAGGUAGUCGAGGAGAGUAUCCUCAGGUGAGCGAGAGAACUCUCGUUAAGGAACUCGGCAAAAUGGCCCCGUAACUUCGGGAGAAGGGGCGCUGGUCGCAAGAUCAGCCGCAGUGAAAAGGCCCAAGCAACUGUUUAUCAAAAACACAGGCAUCUGCAAAAUCGUAAGAUGAAGUAUAGGUGCUGACACCUGCCCGGUGCUGGAAGGUUAAGAGGAGAGCUUAGCGCAAGCGAAGGUUUGAAUUGAAGCCCCAGUAAACGGCGGCCGUAACUAUAACGGUCCUAAGGUAGCGAAAUUCCUUGUCGGGUAAGUUCCGACCUGCACGAAAGGUGUAAUGAUUUGGGCACUGUCUCAACGAGAGACUCGGUGAAAUUAUAAUACCCGUGAAGAUGCGGGUUACCCGCGACAGGACGGAAAGACCCCAUGGAGCUUUACUGCAGUUUAAUAUUGGGUAUCUGUCAAGCAUGUACAGGAUAGGUAGGAGCCGGAGAAGAUAGGACGCCAGUCUUAUCAGAGGCGCUGUUGGGAUACUACCCUUGCUUGACGGAUGCUCUAACUCAGGCCUGUGAUCCAGGCCGAGGACAGUGUUUGACGGGCAGUUUGACUGGGGCGGUCGCCUCCUAAAGUGUAACGGAGGCGCCCAAAGGUUCCCUCAGAAUGGUUGGAAAUCAUUCGCAGAGUGUAAAGG